rnacentral:rRNA from 1 species
CUACGGGUUGCUCCAGUGGGGAAUAUUGCACAAUGGGCGCAAGCCUGAUGCAGCCAUGCCGCGUGUAUGAAGAAGGCCUUCGGGUUGUAAAGUACUUUCAGCGGGGAGGAAGGGAGUAAAGUUAAUACCUUUGCUCAUUGACGUUACCCGCAGAAGAAGCACCGGCUAACUCCGUGCCAGCAGCCGCGGUAAUACGGAGGGUGCAAGCGUUAAUCGGAAUUACUGGGCGUAAGGCGCACGCAGGCGGUUUGUUAAGUCAGACGUGAAAUCCCCGGGCUCAACCUGGGAACUGCAUCUGAUACUGGCAAGCUUGAGUCUCGUAGAGGGGGGUAGAAUUCCAGGUGUAGCGGUGAAAUGCGUAGAGAUCUGGAGGAAUACCGGUGGCGAAGGCGGCCCCCUGGACGAAGACUGACGCUCAGGUGCGAAAGCGUGGGGAGCAAACAGGAUUAGAUACCCCUGUAGUC